rnacentral:rRNA from 1 species
CCUACGGGUGGCUGCAGUGGGGAAUAUUGGACAAUGGGCGCAAGCCUGAUCCAGCAAUACCGCGUGUGUGAAGAAGGCCUGAGGGUUGUAAAGCACUUUUAAUAGGGAGGAACACCUGUAGGCUAAUACCCUGCAGUAUGACAUUACCUAUAGAAAAAGCACCGGCUAACUCCGUGCCAGCAGCCGCGGUAAUACGGAGGGUGCAAGCGUUAAUCGGAAUUACUGGGCGUAAUACUUACGUCAGAUGUGAAAGCCCCGGGCUUAACCUGGGAACUGCAUUUGAUACUGGGUAACUCGAGUUUAGUAGAGGAGAGUGGAAUUUCAGGUGUAGCGGUGAAAUGCGUAGAGAUCUGAAGGAACACCAGUGGCGAAGGCGACUCUCUGGACUAAAACUGACGCUGAGGUACGAAAGCGUGGGUAGCAAACAGGAUUAGAUACCCCAGUAGUC